UUAUAAUUUAAUUUUAGUUAAUAAGUUAGUUGAAUUAAUUGAUCAAUAAAUAUAAGUUUUAAAUUACAAUUGUUUAAAUAAUGAUUGUUGUUUUAUUUAAGGAUUUUAUUUAUAAAUGAAUGUAAGUUUGAUUUAGUUAUUAAUUUAAAUAAAGGUAAUUUUAGUGCCAGCAACAGCGGUUAAACUAAAUUUAUGAAUUAAUUUAUUUAAUUUUUAGACUANGUGAUUUUAAAUUUAAUAUUAUUUAAUUUAAUUAGUUAAAGUAUGGUGAAAUAUUUUUGUUUAUUAUGUUGAAUUUUAUUUAUCUAAUGUUUAUUAAGUUUUUUAUAUAGACUAGGAUUAGAUACCCUAUUAUACAAAAUGAUUGUUUUUGAAUUAAUUAUUAAAUGUUAAUCAUUAAAAUUAAUAAAUAUGGCGGCUUUAUAAUUUAUUUAGAGGAAUUUGUGUAUUAAUUUGAUGAUCCACGAAAGGAUAUACUAAUUUUAAUUUUUAUGUAUUGCUGUUUGAAGAAUUUAUUUAUAUAUUAUUUUUAAUAUAUUGAAUUUAAUGUUAAUUCAAGUCAAAAUGUAGGUUAUUUUAGGUUGCAUGAAUUACAAUAAUUUUUAUUUUUGGAUGAAUUAUUUUAAUAUAAUUUUGAAAUUGGAUUUAAAAGUAAAUUUAUUAAAUUAAGUUUUUUGAAGAUAAUUUUAUUUAGUGUACAAAUUGCCCGUCAUUCUCAUUAUAAGUGAGGAAAGUCGUAACAUAGUAAAUGUACUGGAAAGUGUAUUUUGUGAAAA
rnacentral:ncRNA from 1 species